rnacentral:rRNA from 1 species
AGCGAACGCUGGCGGCAGGCCUAACACAUGCAAGUCGAAUGAACUCUUCGGAGUUAGUGGCGGACGGGUGAGUAACACGUGGGAAUGUGCCUUUAGGUUCGGAAUAACUCAGGGAAACUUGUGCUAAUACCGAAUGUGCCCUUCGGGGGAAAGAUUUAUCGCCUUUAGAGCGGCCCGCGUCUGAUUAGCUAGUUGGUGAGGUAAAGGCUCACCAAGGCGACGAUCAGUAGCUGGUCUGAGAGGAUGAUCAGCCACAUUGGGACUGAGACACGGCCCAAACUCCUACGGGAGGCAGCAGUGGGGAAUCUUGCGCAAUGGGCGAAAGCCUGACGCAGCCAUGCCGCGUGAAUGAUGAAGGUCUUAGGAUUGUAAAAUUCUUUCACCGGGGACGAUAAUGACGGUACCCGGAGAAGAAGCCCCGGCUAACUUCGUG